rnacentral:rRNA from 1 species
AGUGAACGCUGGCGGUAGGCCUAACACAUGCAAGUCGAACGGCAGCACAGUAAGAGCUUGCUCUUACGGGUGGCGAGUGGCGGACGGGUGAGGAAUACAUCGGAAUCUACUUUUUCGUGGGGGAUAACGUAGGGAAACUUACGCUAAUACCGCAUACGACCUACGGGUGAAAGCAGGGGAUCUUCGGACCUUGCGCGAUUGAAUGAGCCGAUGUCGGAUUAGCUAGUUGGCGGGGUAAAGGCCCACCAAGGCGACGAUCCGUAGCUGGUCUGAGAGGAUGAUCAGCCACACUGGAACUGAGACACGGUCCAGACUCCUACGGGAGGCAGCAGUGGGGAAUAUUGGACAAUGGGCGCAAGCCUGAUCCAGCCAUACCGCGUGGGUGAAGAAGGCCUUCGGGUUGUAAAGCCCUUUUGUUGGGAAAGAAAAGCAGCAGGUUAAUACCCCGCUGUUCUGACGGUCCCCAAAGAAUAAGCACCGGUUAACUUCGUG